rnacentral:rRNA from 1 species
GAACGGAGGAAGAGCUUGCUCUUCCAAAGUUAGUGGCGGACGGGUGAGUAACACGUGGGCAACCUGCCUGUAAGUUGGGGAUAACUCCGGGAAACCGGGGCUAAUACCGAAUGAUAGAGUGUGGCGCAUGCCACGCUCUUGAAAGAUGGUUUCGGCUAUCGCUUACAGAUGGGCCCGCGGUGCAUUAGCUAGUUGGUAGGGUAAUGGCCUACCAAGGCAACGAUGCAUAGCCGACCUGAGAGGGUGAUCGGCCACACUGGGACUGAGACACGGCCCAGACUCCUACGGGAGGCAGCAGUAGGGAAUCUUCCGCAAUGGACGAAAGUCUGACGGAGCAACGCCGCGUGUAUGAAGAAGGUUUUCGGAUCGUAAAGUACUGUUGUUAGAGAAGAACAAGGAUAAGAGUAACUGCUUGUCCCUUGACGGUAUCUAACCAGAAAGCCACGGCUAACUACGUGCCAGCAGCCGCGGUAAUACGUAGGUGGCAAGCGUUGUCCGGAUUUAUUGGGCGUAAAGCGCGCGCAGGCGGUCUUUUAAGUCUGAUGUGAAAGCCCCCGGCUUAACCGGGGAGGGUCAUUGGAAACUGGAAGACUGGAGUGCAGAAGAGGAGAGUGGAAUUCCACGUGUAGCGGUGAAAUGCGUAGAUAUGUGGAGGAACACCAGUGGCGAAGGCGACUCUCUGGUCUGUAACUGACGCUGANGCGCGAAAGCGUGGGGAGCAAACAGGA